rnacentral:rRNA from 1 species
UGUGAAGCAGGGACGCCAGUUCUUGUGGAGCCACCCUUGAAAUACCACCCUGGUGUCGUUGAGGUUCUAACCUGGACCCCUUAUCGGGGUCGGGGACCGUGCAUGGUAGGCAGUUUGACUGGGGCGGUCUCCUCCCAAAAGGUAACGGAGGAGCACGAAGGUUGGCUAGACACGGUCGGAAAUCGUGUUGAUAGUGCAAGGGCAUAAGCCAGCUUAACUGCGAGACCCACAAGUCGAGCAGAUGCGAAAGCAGGUCCUAGUGAUCCGGUGGUUCUGUAUGGAAGGGCCAUCGCUCAACGGAUAAAAGGUACUCUGGGGAUAACAGGCUGAUUCCGCCCAAGAGUUCACAUCGACGGCGGAGUUUGGCACCUCGAUGUCGGCUCAUCUCAUCCUGGGGCUGUAGCCGGUCCCAAGGGUAUGGCUGUUCGCCAUUUAAAGAGGUACGUGAGCUGGGUUCAAAACGUCGUGAGACAGUUUGGUCCCUAUCUGCCGUGGCGCUGGAGAUUUGAC